rnacentral:lncRNA from 1 species
GUGAGUUGGGAGUUCAGCCUACCUCUCCUCGGGUUCUCUGUCUCGUGUUCUCUCUCCCCCUCCGGGGACUUCUCAGAAAUCCAAGCGCUUGGUCAGAGAAACCCCCACGGCCUCUGGGCCCAGGACCGUGCCCCUGGGAGACGUCCCAUCGGCCCGCCUCCUCUCGUUCUCUCCCUUUGGGAGACUCACUCGGAGUUUGUCAAAGGAGACAAGGAUGCUUCUCCCCUUUGUCUUUCUCCCCAGGGGCUGCCUCCUCCUCACCCGCUCUAAUCAGGGGGCCCAACAAUCCAAACCCCGCCCCUCAACGCCUCUGGGCUGCCUUCUGGCACAACUCAAACCCCUCGGAUUGUUGGGACCAGACUUUAAGCCAAAAAGACUUGUUUUCUAUUGUAAUCAGGUUUGGCCUCAGUAUAAAUUAGAGAAUGGGUUUCCAGGGCCCAAAAAUGGGACUUUCAAUUUUAACUUACUGUGUGAUUUACACAACUUCUGUCAACGCAAUGGCAAAUGGUCAGAAAUCCCCUACACACAAACCUUUUCUACCUAUGCUCUUAACCCUCCCUCUGUCAAACCUGUUCUCCUUCUCAAGUACUCCUAGCCUCACCUCUCAUACCUCCCCCACUUUAUAACUCUGUUGAUAGGAAAAAGUUUUAAAGCUUAAUAGAUUAGCUAUUGAAGUAGUUGUGGAAGCAAACCAGUUUGGAGACCAGAACAAAAAGGUAACUGGGCUAUGAGGACAGCCAAUAUUUUGGCCCCGGCCCCUCAAGGUCAACAAAGUUCCAGGACAUGAGGGAACCUUCUCUACAGGGUCCUACAUCUUUGGAACGAUUGAGGGCAUUCACCAGCCAGACAGUCAUGGAGUUCACCAUGGCAGGUUACCAGCCAGUACGAUAAAAGGAAGAGGUCCCCGCUUGCCACCGGCCCCAUGAGAUCCAGGUCUAGCCCCGAUCUUCGCCCCUGGUCAGCAGGAAGCAGCUCCAGAAGAAGAGACCUUCGCCCAACUAUCAUACAACAAAAGCCUGGAAUGAUAGGUCUCCCACCACCUCAGCAGCUGUUAUGUAUCGCAGCUGCCCUCUUCCUAUGGUGCCUUGCCCCCUCCCCUGUGUGACAUCACGCCAAGAUGGCUGCUCCCACCAAAGAACAAACCCUUCUUCCCAGCAUGCCCCUGUUCCCGCCUAGAAAGUAACCUAAUACUCGCUCACCUCCUACCAUCUAGUGACAUCACUGGCUCCUCCAUUCCCUAGUCACUGCCUCACUCAACCCCACCUCAG